rnacentral:lncRNA from 1 species
AUGACACCACAUUCAGGAAGUGUCAUCAUUUCUGUGGUGGGAAAACCAACCCCUUCCUACAAUGACACCACAUUCAGGAAGGGUCAUCAUUUCUGUGGUGAGAAAACAACCCCUUCCUACAAUGACACCACAUUCAGGAAGUGUCAUCAUUUCUGUGGUGGGAAAACAACCCCUUCCUGCAAUGACACCACAUUCAGGAAGUGUCAUCAUUUCUGUGGUGGGAAAACAACCCCUUCCUACAAUGACACCACAUUCAGGAAGUGUCAUCAUUUCUGUGGUGGGAAAACAACCCCUUCCUACAAUGACACCACAUUCAGGAAGUGUCAUCAUUUCUGUGGUGGGAAAACAACCCCUUCCUACAAUGACACCACAUUCAGGAAGUGUCAUCAUUUCUGUGGUGGGAAAACAACCCCUUCCUGCAAUGACACCACAUUCAGGAAGUGUCAUCAUUUCUGUGGUGGGAAAACAACCCCUUCCUACAAUGACACCACAUUCAGGAAGUGUCAUCAUUUCUGUGGUGGGAAAACAACCCCUUCCUACAAUGACACCACAUUCAGGAAGUGUCAUCAUUUCUUUGGUGGGAAAACAACCCCUUCCUUCAAUGACACCACAUUCAGGAAGUGUCAUCAUUUCUGUGUUGGGAAAACAACCCCUUCCUACAAUGACACCACAUUCAGGAAGUGUCAUCAUUUGGGGAAAACAACCCCUUCCUACAAUGACACCACAUUCAGGAAGUGUCAUCAUUUCUGUGGUGGGAAAACCAACCCUUCCUGCAAUGACACCACAUUCAGGAAGUGUCAUCAUUUGGGAAAACAACCCCUUCCUACAAUGACACCACAUUCAGGAAGUGUCAUCAUUUCUGUGGUGGGAAAACAACCCCUUCCUACAAUGACACCACAUUCAGGAAGUGUCAUCAUUUCUGUGGUGGGAAAACAACCCCUUCCUGCAAUGACACCACAUUCAGGAAGUGUCAUCAUUUCUGUGGUGGGAAAACAACCCCUUCCUACAAUGACACCACAUUCAGGAAGUGUCAUCAUUUCUGUGGUGGGAAAACAACCCCUUCCUUCAAUGACACCACAUUCAGGAAGUGUCAUCAUUUCUGUGGUGGGAAAACAACCCCUUCCUUCAAUGACACCACAUUCAGGAAGUGUCAUCAUUUCUGUGUUGGGAAAACAACCCCUUCCUACAAUGACACCACAUUCAGGAAGUGUCAUCAUUUGGGAAAACAACCCCUUCCUACAAUGA